CGAUCGUUGUCCUCCAACCCACAGGCUGUUUGGUGUUGGCUUCUCUCCACUCCGACUUCAUCCCGACGUCUCCCUCGCUCAGCACCUCCAGGCUCGUCUGCUCCACAUAUGUCGCCGUCGGAGCGACCACGAGGUGGUGACCAUGGCAAGCCAGAGGUAGUUGGGGAGGCAGCGCCGCAAGCGGUGGGUGCAGGUUCCGCCUCAUUUUCUCCAUCCCAGUCCUCCAUCCCUGCUAACGGCAUCACCUCAUCCCCUAUGGACGCCGUUGCCGUCUACGACAACACCCGCCGCCGCACCCUUCACGAUAGCGGCGCUUCCCAUUCUGGGAUUACACCAUCUCCCUUCUAGGUUUCCGCUUCCAUAUUCCCUUCCAAGAUCAUGUCGCCACGUCCAGUAUUGUCGCACCGCCACGACAACAACCCAGGACCGCUCGUUGCCACUCCAAGGCCUAGAAGGCCUACAACUUCGCCAGAUCCUCUGACAAAGAUGAAUGAUUUACAAGGCUCCAAUACAGAAGGUACAGCUCAUUGCUACAGAGGCUAGAAUCAAAGGGAGCAUGAGCUCCAAUACAGAAAGAAGUUUGGUUUAUCCCGCUUCUUUGUUAUCUGUAUUGAGAUACAACUGAUAAUAAUAAGUUCAUCACGAGGACACAAGUGUAGCUUUGAAGUCAAGUAUGGUGAGUCAUACUGGAGCUCUAUAGUCGUUCAUGAUCAUUGGCCUAUAGGGAGUCAACUAUAAAUAUCUGAGACAUUUGUGUCAUACUGUAUUGUGACAUGUGACUUUUAUAUUAUUUU